rnacentral:rRNA from 1 species
GAUGAACGCUGGCGGCGUGCCUAAUACAUGCAAGUCGAGCGAAUGGAUUAAGAGCUUGCUCUUAUGAAGUUAGCGGCGGACGGGUGAGUAACACGUCGGUAACCUGCCCAUAAGACUGGGAUAACUCCGGGAAACCGGGGCUAAUACCGGAUAACAUUUUGAACCGCAUGGUUCGAAAUUGAAAGGCGGCUUCGGCUGUCACUUAUGGAUGGACCCGCGUCGCAUUAGCUAGUUGGUGAGGUAACGGCUCACCAAGGCAACGAUGCGUAGCCGACCUGAGGGGGGGAUGGGCCACACUGGGACUGAGACCCGGCCCAGACUCCUACGGGAGGCAGCAGUAGGGAAUCUUCCGCAAUGGACGAAAGUCUGACGGAGCAACGCCGCGUGAGUGAUGAAGGCUUUCGGGUCGUAAAACUCUGUUGUUAGGGAAGAACAAGUGCUAGCUGAAUAAGCCGGCACCUUGACGGUACCUAACCAGAAAGCCACGGCUAACUACGUGCCAGCCGCCGCCGUAA